GAUGAACGCUGGCGGCGUGCCUAAUACAUGCAAGUCGAGCGAACGGACGAGAAGCUUGCUUCUCUGAUGUUAGCGGCGGACGGGUGAGUAACACGUGGAUAACCUACCUAUAAGACUGGGAUAACUUCGGGAAACCGGAGCUAAUACCGGAUGAUAUUUUGAACCGCAUGGUUCAAAAGUGAAAGACGGUCUUGCUGUCACUUAUAGAUGGAUCCGCGCUGCAUUAGCUAAUUGGUAAGGUAACGGCUUACCAAGGCAACGAUGCAUAGCCGACCUGAGAGGGUGAUCGGCCACACUGGAACUGAGACACGGUCCAGACUCCUACGGGAGGCAGCAGUAGGGAAUCUUCCGCAAUGGGCGAAAGCCUGACGGAGCAACGCCGCGUGAGUGAUGAAGGUCUUGGGAUCGUAAAACUCUGUUAUUAGGGAAGAACAUAUGUGUAAGUAACUGUGCACAUCUUGACGGUACCUAAUCAGAAAGCCACGGCUAACUACGUG
rnacentral:rRNA from 1 species